rnacentral:misc_RNA from 1 species
UGAAGUUUCUAGAUAACAGUAAGAAAGCGGACUCUCAUUUCGUAGGUAAAAUAAGAUUAUAUUAAGGGUAUUUGCAAUCAAGUCCAUUGUUAGUGAGAAACAAAUAAAUCAUAUACUUGUUUUGGAGUUUGAUUCGUAGCUUUAUUUCAUCUAAGUACACUGUGUUAUAACGUAGUACGAAACAUGUCAUACUCACGAAUAGCGUCUACCUCUCUGUCAAACAGUCAGGUUGUUACCUCUUUUGAGGUCAAAAAGAAAGAAUUAAGAGAGAGGAAAAUCCAACCGAGAAGGAAAACUGCGCCCAUUGUAAUGUUCUCCGCUGCGGUUGCAUUAGAGGACAGAGAGAGCCCAAGUCGCGCGGGGGAUGACCUUGGGUCAAUUCGAACAACUCGAGGAAGUAGUUUCAGAAGAAGCAGAGUUAGGUCCACAAAAGAGUCUGUCCAUCGAACACAGUCUAUGAGGACGAGUAGUAGGCCGCAUUCCUUAGAUCCUGCCAACAGAUCUCGCCAGCGGGUAGCGAGUGUCCCAAGAGAUAAUAUUACUAAAAGAUCUUCCUCCACUCAUUCCCUACCGCUUGCUGGGGAAGAAGGGGAUUAUCAGAGGCUCCGUAACUUCUCUAUUACACCGAAAGGCUUGAUUAACAGAGGUGACUCCUUCCGUUCCAAAUCACACAGUUCUCAGAGCGUGUCGUCUUCCGGGUCACAGUUACCUACUGCAGAAACCUCGGGGGAAGCCCACGAAGUACCUUCCCACUCAACCGUCAGGUAUCGGGUCGUAGUCCUUGGUUGUCCUGAAGUUGGAAAAUCGUGUCUUAUUACCCAGUUCACAACAUCAGAAUACAUCUGUGCUUACGAUGCUUCUUCAGAUGAACAAGAUGAUAAACUGGUGACAGUAGUGCUGAACAGGGAGGAGUCUGAACUGUUGUUUGUUGAAUACACUCUUUCCACAAAACCAGAUUCUUCACAACCAGUAGAAACAAUAAUGGACAACGCUGAUGCCUUCGUUGUCGUAUAUUCGUCUUGUGACAAAACAAGCUUUCGCAGGGCGCGAGAUACGUUACUGAGAAUGAGCAACACAAAAGAAAAAAGUUCAAAGGCUAUCAUCUUGGUAGGCAACAAAACAGAUCUAGCUCGGCUGAGGGUGGUGAAUACAAAAGAUGGUAAAGCCUUAGCCACAUCCAUUGGUUGUAAGUUCAUUGAGACUUCCGCAGGAAUUAACCACAACGUUGAUGAACUCUUGGUUGGGAUUGUAAGUCAGAUUCGAUUGAAGGAUCAGCGACUAGAAAGAGAUAGGGAAUCGGUCACUUUAGCCACUCCAGCAUUAGGGACUCCUUGCAAGGCCAAAGUUCUUAUUAGAAAACUGUUAGAAAAAACAGUCAUAAAGUCCAAGUCCUGUAAUAACCUACAUGUGUUGUAGAAUCGAAUCAAUUUUAAAUCAGUGUAGAAUUGAAGGUUAUAAUUUUCAGGAUCUCUAAAGCUAAAUCAGGCGUUCUUCUAGGUUAAGCCUUAUUCUUUCGGGAUUUCGAAAACUCCAGAUUUUGCUCAUAGCCUCAGGUCAAUCAAAACCACUUCAUUUUAUUAUUUAUUAAAAUUGUAAUAAAUUAAACGAUAACAUAACACAUUGGAAGUUAUCGCAGGUAAACAGUCAGAGCAUUGUUUAAUACACUAAAUUAUGAAAAUGGGGUUUAAUUUGAGUUUAGCAUGAUUUUAUGACGUGUUAAGCCUACAAUAAAACAAAAAGUUAUAAGUGUUUUUAAUUUUUGGAUAGGGAACAUUAUCGUAAACAAUAAUAAUAAAAGAUUUGUAUACAUAUGCAUAACGUAAAAAUGUUGCGCUAGUUGAUGGACCAUCUUUUAACCUUAGCAAAUUUUGUCGGCAUUAUCACAUUUUUACAUCUUUUAAUUGAAGUAUGUUCAUAUAUAUAUAUAUAUAAUUAUUUCUAUAUUAAAAUGGUAAAGAAGCAACACGUAUAUUAAUUGAACACUGCUAAACUAAACUGAACACAUUUCUAUUGUAUAUUCGUGUAUAUAGGACAAUAUGUGGAUUUAUAUGUUAAUAGUUAUAUUUGAAUGACACCAGAUGUUUCUAUAUUUUAUUCCACUUCUUUUCCAUUUUUUUACCUUACAUGUGAUGUGACUUCUAUUGUGCUUUAAAUUAUACGUGAAUAUAAAAGUAUACAUUAAAAAUAUCUGUUGCUUUUCUACUGUAUUUAUUUCGCGUGACUAUAAAUGUUUCAUUCAAACGAAUGCUCAUUUCAGAGGGUUCUUGAUUAACAAAUAUACAUAAAAUUAUUUUAUAACAUGUAUAUGAAUAAUAUAUAUGCUUUCUUGAAAUUAUUUUAUUGUUUUUUUUUCUUUGUACGACUUAUUUACUCGACGAUUACUGGCUAAGGAACUCAUUUAGCUAUUUUGUAAAAUAAUGGUUUGAUUUUUUAAUCUCACCGGGAGAAAAACAAAUCGUGGAAUAUGUUUUACUUGUAUCUCCAUCAAUUUGUACUACACUUAA